UCCUUUUUAUAUUUAAAAGAAUUAUUAAAUUAUUGUAGAUAAAAGAAUAUUAUUAAUCCUAUUUGAUAAAUUGAAAAAUUUAUUUUUGGAGUAGUAUGAUUUAUAAAUACAAUAAAAUAAAAAAAUUUUAUUUAUAAUUAUAAAUAAAAUUAAAUUAUAUAUUAUGGAUGUUUAAUAUUAAUAUAAAAACAUCAAUACAUAUUUUUGUAAAGAAAAAAUAAAGAAUUUAUUUUCUAAAUACUUAUUAAUUAAUCAAAGCUAAAAUGAAAAAAACAUAAAAAAAUAAAGUAUAUAAGAGUAUAAUUUGACUUUUAUAUACUUUUUUAUAUUAUUUUUGAGUUUUUUAGGAAGAUAUUUUACAAGUUAAGAAAACUAUAAGGAGUGUUAUAUUGAAUAUAAAAUAGUAUAAUAUAUUAUGUUAGAUAAUUAAUAUGAAAAUAUACAAAUAUAUAAAAAGUUUGUUUA
rnacentral:misc_RNA from 1 species